rnacentral:rRNA from 1 species
ACACAAAUUAAACAGUAUCAUAACCACACUUAAAGAAAAUAUUCAACCACAAAAGUACCCGAUAAAACCUCUAUCAAAUAAAAAACCGCAAGGGCAAAUCAUCUAGUCAAACAAAGAAAGAAUAACCCCCUCUCCCUUUUGCAUCAUGGAGAAGCAACACUCACAUUAAUAACAAUUAACCUCCCGAAAAAAUAUGAGCUACUAACCCCUCAAAAUUAAUGUGUCAUAAUUAAUAAACUAGCCGUUAGUAGAAGUGACAAGCCUUUCACAUUUUUUGAUAGCUGGUUUUCCCUGAAAAGCAUCAAAGUGCUAGUUUAUGGCAUCAAUAACCCAAAUAUCGCCACAAACCAAAAACUACCGAGGACAAGCUCGGUAGCUUUCUUAAAAUAAGUCAACCCACAAAGUUAAAAGUAGGCUUAAAGACAGCCAACUUACUGCGUUCUAGUAAACAGACACCACCAAAACAUAUAGAAUAAACAAAUUUUAACCUAUAAGGGAACCUGACGCGGAACAAUCUACAACCUUACCAAACAGGCAUCCUAUUAGUAUAACUUACUUAAUUCAACACUUCUUAUAAAAAAUAAGUGAACUCAACCUACAGUAAAAAAAUAACUAUGCGUAACGAACUCGACAACACCGCUUUCCGCCUGUUUACCAAAAACAUCGUUUCUCGAAAACACCAACAUGAGAAAUAAUGCCUGCCCAGUGAAUACCAAAUUUUAACGGCCGCGUUAGCGUGAGCGUGCUAAGGUAACGUAAUAAAUAGCCUUUUAAUUGGAGGCCAGUGAACGGCAACACGGAAAACACCUGUAUCACACAUAUUAGUAAAAUUUUAUUUUUGGGUGAAAAAGCCCAAAUAAUCAAGGAAGACAAAAAGACCCCGCGGAGCUUCACUUUAUUGGGCUAAGCAAAUCCUACAGAUUAAGCCAUGCUUACAAGUUUGGUUGGGGCAACCCUGGAAUCACCAAAGCUUCCAGUCAUAAUUAAGAAACGCAUCAAAAACGUCUUCGGGCCAAAAAGCAGUUACCCCGGGGAUAACAGCGUAAUCCAACUCAAGAGUACACAUCGAAAGUUGGGUUUGCGACCUCGAUGUUGGCUUAAGGUAAUUCACAUUAGUGCAGCCGCUAUGAGAGAAUAGUCUGUUCGACUAUUAUACCCUUACAUGAGCUGAGUUAAGACCGGCGCAAGCUAGGUUGGUUUCUAUCUCCUGUUUAUAACUAUACUCUCAAUUGUACGAAAGGACCCUGAGAUAUGCAAACCUAAGCAAUCACCAAUAAAUUCAUAACCCCAUACUAAAUGAAAUUAUAAAAAGACUACCA